rnacentral:rRNA from 1 species
UACGUAGGGGCUAGCGUUAUCCGGAAUUACUGGGCGUAAAGGGUGCGUAGGUGGUUUCUUAAGUCAGAGGUGAAAGGCUACGGCUCAACCGUAGUAAGCCUUUGAAACUGGGAAACUUGAGUGCAGGAGAGGAGAGUGGAAUUCCUAGUGUAGCGGUGAAAUGCGUAGAUAUUAGGAGGAACACCAGUUGCGAAGGCGGCUCUCUGGUCUGUAACUGACGCUGAGGUGCGAAAGCGUGGGUAGCAAACAGGAUUAGAUACCCUGGUAGUCCCUGAG